UUGGCCUCUUCUUAUCUGAUACUGUGGUUUUUGACCCGGUAGAAGUGCUGUAUAGGAAGGUGCGUUAGUCGUAAGAAGAGUGUGGAGUUUUAAUUGUAGUGUGGGGGUAUUUAUUGACCAUCUGAGUAAUUAUAAAAUUUUGAAGAAUACCCUGGACCACAAAGAGAGAAAUGAAGAAGAGUGAUCUCAAUUUUUAAAGGUUAUUUCAACAAAACGUCCUGAGAAUCUUUUAUAUAUUGAUGAGUCUGGGAUGGACAAUACUUGCAGAUUUUAAAGUAUGUCUGAAAAGUGAUACAGUGGUUGAUGGAGUUGGUUAAUAUCUUACUUAGGUAUAUAAUAAAAUCAAGUUGAGCAAAGUU